GAUGAACGCUAGCGGGAGGCCUAACACAUGCAAGCCGAGCGGGAUUUGUUGGUUAGCUUGCUGACUAACAAUGAGAGCGGCGUACGGGUGCGUAGAACGUGUGCAACCUGCCUUUAUCUGGGGGACAGCCUUUCGAAAGGAAGAUUAAUACCCCAUAACAUAUUGAUUGGCAUCAGUGAAUAUUGAAAGCUCCGGCGGAUAGAGAUGGGCAGGCGUAAGAUUAGCUAGUGGGUGAGGUAACGGCUGACCAAGGCUGCGAUCUUUAGGGGGCGUGAGAGGGGGAUCCCCCACACGGGUACUGAGACACGUACCAGACUCCUACGGGAGGCAGCCGUGAGGAAUACUGGACAAUGGGUGAGUGCCUGAUCCAGCCAUCCCGCGUGCAGGACUAAGGACCUAGGGUUUGUAAACUUCUGUUAUACAGGGAUAAACCUACUCUCGUGAGGGUAGCUGAAGGUACUGGAUGAAUAAGCACCGGCUAACUCCGUG
rnacentral:rRNA from 1 species